AUGUAGUGUGACAUGUCCGUUUGGGAACUACUCUGAUGCAUGUUUAUUUAUUAUUAAAUUGAUUUUGGGUAACGGGGUGUUACAUACA
rfam:Medicago truncatula strain A17 chromosome 4, whole genome shotgun sequence.